rnacentral:lncRNA from 1 species
GCCAACACCACUGUGUCAGGGUUGAUGGAAUACCUGAUCCACAGGCAUGGAAUUCCACACAGCAGGACAUCUGACCAAGGAACCUAGAUCACAGUGGAGAAGGCAAGGGAUUGGCCAUCCAUUCAAAAGCAGCUGGCCUGAAAUAAUGCUGAUAUGAUUUUAAAAGGAAAAGCUGUCCAGCCAGAUCAGAGGAAGCACUUGGAAAGGACAGGAUAACAUCAGAGAUCUCUAUAUGGCUAUAUGGUGAACUUCUCCCAAAAGAAUGGAUGCUUGGGGUUCAAGAGCCAAGGAGUGAAAGCAGGAAAGCCCUACUUAUACUUUACCAUGAUAAUGAGAAUUUGUGCUUCCUGCCCCCACAAGUCUUCACACUCCAAGGUUGGAGAUCCCAACCCUAAUGGGGCAUACUAUUUCCAGGGGGAUAGAGCAAGGGCUUGAUAAAACAAACUGUGGCUGCCAGGGCACUUAGAUUCUUGUAGUCCAGGAACCAGAAGACAAGAAGUUAUUAUUCUGAAAGAAAAAAAAAUUGAUCCUGAUGAUCAGGAGGAGGUAAACUACUUUACAUAGGGACAAAUACAUGUGGUACCCAGUAAUUCAUGUGGUUUCCUUCUAGUACAUCUUUACACCUUUGUGGCUAUAAACACACACACACACACACACACACACAAUAAUCUUAGACUGAAAAGAAUAUGAUUCCCAAGAAUGCAGACCCCUCAGGGAUGUAGGUUUGGAUGGAAAUCCAUCACAACCUGCUGAAGUGACAGAAACUAGGGGAAUUUACAACGAAUGAUGAAGGAGAGAAGGCAUGAGUACUAGCUGUGGCCCUGAAAACAGCUACAAUGGUGGUAGAUUUAACUUGUUCCACUAAAUUCUUUUUCAAAAUUUUCCCUCAGGAGAAGAAACCAAUGAGAAUCAUGGAAGAACUAUGUAGGGCAGGAUAUAUAAUGGCACCCAUGAAAUUGCACCCCUCAAGUCUUCUGUUACCCCCACUGCAUUUGCAUGGAGGACACACUCUUCCCAGACUACUCUGUCCUAGUGACAGAGCUGGUAGGGAUACUAAGGCAGAUCUCUCCUGUGGGAUUCCUUUACCCGAUUACUUGAGCUCAAUGGCUCCUCACUGGUUUGGUCAAAGCUUAAUAUAGUUUUAGACUCUUUCCACCAAUGUUCCUCUCUGUCUGUCUCUGUCUCUUUUUCUCUUCCCUUCUACCAUAGGUAUCAAAUCUCCAUCACAAUUUGAUGGCUCUGUCCUCU